GCAAGUCGAACGCACUCUCGUUUGGAUUGAAGGAGCUUGCUCCUGAUGAUAACAUUGAGUGAGUGGCGGACGGGUGAGUAACACGUGGUAACCUGCCCUAAAGUGGGGGAUAACAUUUGGAAACAGAUGCUAAUACCGCAUAAAACCUAACACCGCAUGGUGUAGGGUUGAAAGAUGGUUUCGGCUAUCACUUUAGGAUGGACCCGCGGUGCAUUAGUUAGUUGGUGAGGUAAAGGCUCACCAAGACCGUGAUGCAUAGCCGACCUGAGAGGGUAAUCGGCCACACUGGGACUGAGACACGGCCCAGACUCCUACGGGAGGCAGCAGUAGGGAAUCUUCCACAAUGGACGAAAGUCUGAUGGAGCAACGCCGCGUGAGUGAAGAAGGUUUUCGGAUCGUAAAACUCUGUUGUUGGAGAAGAAUGUAUCUGAUAGUAACUGAUCAGGUAGUGACGGUAUCCAACCAGAAAGCCACGGCUAACUACGUG
rnacentral:rRNA from 1 species